AGCAUGACCUAUGGUAGAAGACAGUAUUUCUCAUAGCAAGCAUGAUCUAUCUGCUAAAAGUAGAGUAUAUAAAAGUUGAUAGGCAGAUAGCUAGUACACGUACAAUAAAAUAGACAAGAGUUCCAAGAUGAGAUUCUAUAACCCUCUUAUGAUCAUUCUGAUUGUGCUAGCUACAGAAGCUGCAUCACUCAAAUUUUCAUCCGUUAUCUCUUCAAUUACUGAAAAGAGAGGCAAACUAUUGUCGGGCCACAACUUUCUCGAAGCCCUAGCUGACACUUCUCUCACAGAGCACAAACGAAUGUCUUUUUUCCCCUACUUGACACAUUUUGCAAUGACUUUCUCCGAUGUAAUGGAUUCAUGGAUUUAUUUCGAGGACCCACAAACUGAGCUCGAACAGCGCAUCAAUACAAUGGUUAUUGAAGAUAAUUUUCAUUACAACUUCUUUUUAAACGACAUGGACACAGUUUCCAGCUAUACCAUUGACAGAUUCGGUUCGUAUUCUGCAGUCAUGCGUCAUCUUUGGGGAGAUGAGAGUAAAAGCUUUCAACAACUCUCAUACACAUGGAUUCUGUAUGUAAAAAGUUCGAUGAUCCCAUAGUUACUCUGACAACCCUCGAAGCUAUGGAGUCUGUAUUUGAAUUAACUUUUAAAUAUAUUGAAAAAGGUGGCAUCAAAAACUAUUCGUAUUUCGGAGACACACACAUGGAACUAGAGUUAAAUCACACACAGACAAACUGGUUCAAAGAAGGGUCAGAAGUCAGUCCUUUAGAAGACCUGGAUAUCACUGCCACUCAGAUGAAUCAAGCCACAGAAGCUGCCGAGCAAAUAUUACAAGGGUUCAACUCCGUAUUUGAUGCCAUGUACAAUCUAAUGAUGGCUGAAGACAGUAUCAAGCCGGAGAAGUACGUGGUAAUAGGCCACCCUCCAUUAAAUGGCUUCCCGGAAGAUCAUCCCAACAGGAAAAAGUCAGACAAAACUGAACUAUAUAGCUGUUAUAGUUAAAUUUUUAGCAAACGCAAACUCUGAAUUUGAUGCAUUUAAGUGUAACAUAUAAUUAUACAAUCAUGUAUAUAUAAUUAUGUGAUUCAUUAAAGAG